UACGUAGGUGGCAAGCGUUGUCCGGAAUUACUGGGUGUAAAGGGAGCGUAGGCGGGAAAGCAAGUUGAAUGUUUAAGGUACGGGCUCAACCUGUACAAGCGUUCAAAACUGUUUUUCUUGAGUGGAGUAGAGGUAAGCGGAAUUCCUAGUGUAGCGGUGAAAUGCGUAAAUAUUAGGAGGAACCCCAGUGGCGAAGGCGGCUUACUGGGCUUUAACUGACGCUGAGGCUCGAAAGCGUGGGUAGCAAACAGG
rnacentral:rRNA from 1 species